GCCAGCCUGCAUUUCCCACAACUGAGAAACGGUGUUGAUAUUUAAACACGGGCUGCUGUGCGCUUCCGCACACGGGUUUACCAGAGCUUUCAACCUUGACCUGAAGGGAACACCUCCUCUGGAAGUGACAGGUUAUGCGAGAUUGUGCAAUCAGAAUUUUACACAGGAACAGAUCUUCUGAUCACGACUGCUCUUGAACCUUUGGCUAUCAUUUCUGCAUUCGUCAGUGAUGAGCACCCCCCUGCCUUCUCGCUGCCACCCGUGGCCAUUGUGAGAAAAGCGAUUGAUUCCAUGCCCACGAGGAAUGUUUUCUGUCUCUCUCUCUUGAAGAUUGGCUGGAGAAGGCAUGCUGUUGGAAGAGCCUGUUGGUUUGGCUGGGCAAGGACCACCCCAGGACUGCCUGGCAUGUGGCAUGAAGCUUGUAAGGAGGUGGGCUCCCUGGUGACCUGCUUCUAACACACAGAAUACAGCCAAAGGGAUGGAGGGUCACUUCUGCCUUCGGUGAGACAAGACUGCAGUUUCUCUCUUGCUGGACUCUUGCUCUACAGAGGAAGAACAUCCAAAGUUGUAAAAUGUAAUAUAUAUGGGAUUAUUUUAAAAAUGCCAAGUGCUGCC
ensembl:lncRNA